rnacentral:rRNA from 1 species
GUGCAGCAGUCGCGAAUAGUCUACAAUGGACGAAAGUCUGGUAGUGCGACGCCGUGUGUGCGAUUAAUUCCUUCGGGAUGUAAAGCACUUUUCUAUGAGAUAAAAGCUCUUUAGGUUAAUAGCUUAUUGAGACGGAUAUUAUUAUAGGAAUAAGCUCCGGCUAACUCCGUGCCAGCAGCCGCGGUAAUACGGAAGGAGCGAGCGUUGUCCGGAUUUACUAGGCGUAAAGGGCUAGUAGGCGACUAAUUAAGUUAUAUGUUAAAUCCCACGGCUCAACUGUGGUCCUGCAUGUAAUACUGGUUAGAUAGAGUACUGUAGAGGAAGGCAGAAUUCCUGGAGUAGCGGUGGAAUGCGCAGAUAUCAGAAGAAUACCAAAAGCGAAGGCAGCCUUCUGGGACAGUUACUGACGCUGAAUAGCGAAGGU